rnacentral:tRNA from 1 species
UAGGAAGUGGUGUAGUGGAAGNACUAAGAGUUUUGAUCUCUUCAGGUAGGGUUCAAGUCCCUUCUUUCUAA